CAUUACCGAGUUUACAACUCCCAAACCCAAUGUGAACCAUACCAAACUGUUGCCUCGGCGGGGUCACGCCCCGGGUGCGUCGCAGCCCCGGAACCAGGCGCCCGCCGGAGGGACCAACCAAACUCUUUUCUGUAGUCCCCUCGCGGACGUUAUUUCUUACAGCUCUGAGCAAAAAUUCAAAAUGAAUCAAAACUUUCAACAACGGAUCUCUUGGUUCUGGCAUCGAUGAAGAACGCAGCGAAAUGCGAUAAGUAAUGUGAAUUGCAGAAUUCAGUGAAUCAUCGAAUCUUUGAACGCACAUUGCGCCCGCCAGUAUUCUGGCGGGCAUGCCUGUCCGAGCGUCAUUUCAACCCUCGAACCCCUCCGGGGGGUCGGCGUUGGGGACCUCGGGAGCCCCUAAGACGGGAUCCCGGCCCCGAAAUACAGUGGCGGUCUCGCCGCAGCCUCUCCUGCGCAGUAGUUUGCACAACUCGCACCGGGAGCGCGGCGCGUCCACGUCCGUAAAACACCCAACUUCUGAAAUGUUGACCUCGGAUCAGGUAGGAAUACCCGCUGAACUUAAGCAUAUCAAUA
rnacentral:rRNA from 1 species